ensembl:lncRNA
AUAUAAAUACUUUGAUAAUGUGAAGACAGUGGAAAGGAAAUACAAAUUCAAAUUCACAGCAGUAGUCAAAUAAGAGACGACCACUGAAGAUGCAUAUGCAGGCUUCAGGCAGGCCUGCAGCUUCCUAGACGCACUUCAUGCUGCUUAGGGGUCUUGACUGGCUACAUCCUGGCCCCAGUUAGCGUGUGCUCUGCUUCCCUGGGCUGUGCUGUCGCUUCUCAAGCUCUAGAGGUCAAAUGCGCUCACAUUAGUACCCAACUAGUUUUACAUUUUUCCUAGAAACUUCUGAAUUUUCAAUUUGGUGUCAACAAUUAAAAAUCAGUUGGAUUUCUUUCUCUUCAGGCAUUUGUUUCUGGUAAGGCCACGAAUAGGCACAUUUUAAGGCUUUUUAAAUGAAAAAGCAAAGAAUUACAGAAAGAGAUUAAAAGUCCACUUUAAUUUUCUUCUAAUCUUCUUGCCUUUCGCUAGUCCUCCUCCUGCUCUUCCCCUCCCCUCUGCAGGUAACAAAUCACUUAUCAAUUUACUUCUCAGUAUCUUGAAUGUCUUAAAUGAACAAACAUAUUCUCUCAAUCACAGUACUUGGAUAACCAAGUGUCCUUUUUAUAGUCACAUUAACCAUAGCUCUGGAUUUAAUUGUACUGAAAAUCCUAUCCCACUGAAUUAAAUAUCACACUUCAAUAUCAACCCUGCACUGAAAGCUCCGAUCGUGAAUUGGUGUAAUUUUAACCUUCUGAGAGAGCUGGUUGGAGUGGAGUCUCUAACCAGCCAGGACAUGCUUUGACUUUCUGAAACCUUCCUUGAAGGGCGUCUGAUUACUUUCAGGGGUUAGAGCUGUCCUUUUGUCCUGACAAAGCUCACUUUUCCAUUCUUGCUGCCAAAACUUUUGACCAUUGUGGGAUUUUCCAAAUCAUUGCUUGGAAUUUAAAUUGAAGGUCUUAGGCAAUUUCAGCUUUACAAUGCCAUGUAACAGAUAGAAUGGAGGUUGAGACGGAAUUCUGCCAGAGAGCAAGUUAGGUCAGAUCUGCACAGCUAUGGGUGAAUAUGGAUAAAACUGAAACCUUUGGGUUUUUCCACUUCACUAUUACUUUCUAAGUCUGCAAAAGAGGCAGAAUCUGUCUUCCUAUUGCUGGGAGAAAAAUUAUUCUAGAAUUUUUUUAACAGCUUCACAGAUCCUCAGAGUUUUUAGGAAAUACAGUGGAUGUUUAAUUAAUUUGUGGGGGCUUCCCAGGUGGCCCAGUGGUAAAGAAUCUGCCUGCUAAUGCAGGAGAUGAAGGUUCAAUCCCUGGGUGGGGAAGAUCCCCUGGAGUAGGAUAUGGCAAACCAUUCCAGUAUUCUUGCCUGGAAAAUUCCAUGGACAGAGGAGCCCGGAGGCCUGCGGUCCAUGGAAUCUCAAAGAGUCAGACAUGACUGGGUGACCGAGCAUGCACGCACUUGAGUUUAAAAAUUGAAUCACAGUAUUUCCUUAAGACAUUGAGUGGAAGUAACUCUAUAGGGUCAAUUGAAACUUCCUUUAUAAUUCUUGCUUCCUCAAUGUCUCACCUCAAAAUAUCUUUCUACAGUUCUUUCCCCCCUGCUCAAAGGCUGAGUUGACUGAUGACUAGGACAAGGUGGGAGUAAGAUUAUAGAGGGUUUAAUUACUUUUCUUCCUGCCCUGUCCCCAUUCCCCAUAGCCCUGAGGAACAUGAAGAGAAUUGCUGGAGUUCAACCUCUGAAAUCUGAAAAGCUACAGAAGGACGAAGGGGCCAGAAUAGAGGAAAUUACAAGUCAGAGAGCCCCCCUAAGGAACAGAGGGCGGGCUGGAGUACGGAAGGGAGGCUCUGGAAAAACCUCACCACAUGCAAGGAGGGCACAGCUUUCUUCAAACUUCCAGACCCAGAGAAUGAAACCUGCCCACCAAAGCAAAAAGGAUUUUCCAGAUCCCUCUUCCUACCCUCCAAUCCUUCCUGCCCCAAACCUGGAAGAGCAGAAGUAAGGGAAGUAGAAAGUAGCAGAAGUAGCAAGUAGAAAGGGAGGGGAAGGGAUAAAGGGGAGAGGCUGGUCAUUUCUCUCCCCUGAGCUGUAUGGCAGAGGAAAAGGACUGAAGGACUGUCUUUGAAUGAUGGUCUUUGAAUGAUAUCUUUGAAUGAAGAUCAAAGUGUUGAUGAUUUCAUGUAACUAAACAUUUUAUUUGUUAAAAAAUGUAAUUUGUAUUUUGUGUCUUAAAAGUCACCACUGGAUACUGUAUUACCUAAGAAUGUUCAGAACAUGAUGAGACUGCUUUUCUUUUUUUUUUCUUUUUUUGGUUAAUCCAAAAGUAGGAUAAAAUAGGAUCCUAGGAAACCUAAUGAAAAUAAGAAUCUGAAUGUUUGCUUUGUGAUAAGCAUCUCACACUCAUCAGGUUUGUUCAGUGAACGAGUUACAUCUCCAGAGUUACAUCAGGGAAUCUGGAGAUGACAAGAAUCCUAGAAAUCUAGCCUUUCCAUGACAUACCAGGAAAAUACUAUAGAAAAUCCAAACCAUUUGGAAUAGUUUACGUUCAGGGAUAAGUAUUUGAUCAGCUGGAGUACACUGGUCAACAAUCAACAGCAGAUAAGGCUAGGAAAGUUAGAAAAAGUAUAUCAUGAGGGUUGAAUCUUCACUAGCUUAUGCGGUAUCUCAAAUGAUGUCAUCUUUCAUCUUUUGUCAGAAACACAGGUAAAUCCUGAUGGAGACACAAAAGGAUCUUGUGGCAUCUUGCUGCUGACUCUCAAAUAUGGUACAACUUCUCAGUGAUAUAGUUUCCUGGAAAUUCAAGGUCACUUGACACACAAGAUAACAGCAUUUGAGAUCUUAGUUCUCAGACCAGAGAUCAGACUCCUGCCCCCUGCACUGGGAAUGUGGAACCUUAACCACUGGACUGCCAGGGAAGUCCCUGGUGUGGUAAUUCUAUGUUUCAUAUUUUGAGGAACUGCCAAAAUCUUUUCCACUGUGGCUCUACCAUCUUAUAUUUCCACCAGCAAUGUAUAAGGGCUAUAAUUUCUAUACAUCAUAACUUGUAUCUCAAUUAUUAUUCACAUAUAUAUCUCUUCCAAUAGACUGAAGAAUGGGCUCUAUUAUGAGUUGGUUUUCAUUCAUCUUUAUAUAAUCAGCAUUCUCUAAAAUUAUGUAAAAACUUGAGAAGAAAGAUUGAGUUUGUAUAUAAAUUUAUAAUUAAAAAUUAAGAUUUUUUUGUUUUCCAUAAACUAAUUUUUUCUGACAUUCUUAACAGGUGGGUUUUAAUGUGCUUUUUAGCCAGAUUGCCACACUUAUUACUACUGGUACUUAACAUCUUAAAAUAAUAACUUUGUCAAUAUUUUCUCAGGAUUAUGACCAAAGUGCCAUGAGAAUGUGAAGUAGCAAUGCAAUUUCUGAACUUUUUUAAAAAGUUUAAUAUUUUCCAAGACCAUCAGCUAUAUAAGAGCAUGCUCUUGAUAGUAAAUCUUCAAUGUAAUGAUAUGGAUUCCAGCACAGGUAAUCUUUUCCUUUACAACAAAAACAUGAGCAUUUCAUUUGUUCAUCUGUUCACCAACUGGAUAUUCAUGCACACCUACUGUACACCAAGCAUGAUUCUGGGCAUUGGAACAGCGUGGUCAAUCAGAGAGUAAGAUGGACGUGAGUCUGGGUGAACUCCGGGAGUUGGUGAUGGACAGGGAGGCCUGGCGUGCUGCGAUUCAUGGGGUCGCAAAGAGUUGGACACGACUGAGCGACUGAACUGAACUGAACUGAAGUAUAAACACAAACACACACACAAUUUUUUCGGCUAUGAGGCAAGCACCCCUACCAGGGAUUGCACCUGCACCCCCAGCACUGGAAGAUGAAGUUGUCACCACUGGACCGCCAGUCAAGUCCAACUAUAUAUAUUCUUGAACAUACCUUUUAAUAAACAUAAGUAUACUUUUUUAAGGCAUAUAUUAGAAAUAGAAUUUCUGAGUUUUAGGGGUUUCACUAAUAUUUGCAUUCGAUUUAUUUGUUCCUUUGUAUCUUAUCCCUUUGAGUUCUCCCACCCAACUCCCAUCCUGUCUCUGAAAGCAGCGUUGCUUCUUGGCUCUCGGCACUUCCAUGCCAUUUAGCUCUGGAUCAUUCUGGCUAGGAGAAGUGAGGCAGAGCCACUCAGCUCACUCUUGCAAGCAGCCCCUCAGCCUCUCUUAUUACUUCUGUUUAUUUUGUAUGGAGGAGGUUGUUUGCUGCUUUCGUUUUUUUUAAGACUCUGGAGCAUUGUGGGUUGUGAUUAGUGUUGUGGGUGGUUUCCACAACACGAAUUUACUCUCCUUAUCAAAAAUACGGGAGAUAUUGUUGCUACAUAACCUUGACAACACUUAUUAC